AACCUUUGCAAUGUGCGCAAGCACGACAAGGUUAAUCCGAGUGUUUCCUGCUAAAGGAAUCUUUUGUUAGUUCUAAAACCACUGAUGAAUAAGGGGUGGGCAAGUUCUGGUGUCAGCCGCCGCGGUAAAACCAGCACCUCAAGUGGUCAGGAGGAUUAUUGGGCCUAAAGCAUCCGUAGCCUGUUCUAUAAGUUUCCGGUUAAAUCCAUUAGCUCAACUAAUGGGCCGCCGAAAAUACUGUGGAACUAGGGAGUGGGAGAGGUAGACGGUACUCGGUAGGAAGGGGUAAAAUCCUUUGAUCUAUUGAUGACCACCUGUGGCGAAGGCGGUCUACCAGAACACGUUCGACGGUGAGGGAUGAAAGCUGGGGGAGCAAACCGGAUUAGAUACCCGGGUAGUCCCAGCUGUAAACGAUGCAGACUCGGUGAUGCGCUGGCUUGUGGCCAGUGCAGUGCCGCAGGGAAGCCGUUAAGUUUGCCGCCUGGGAAGUACGUACGCAAGUAUGAAACUUAAAGGAAUUGGCGGGGGAGCAC
rnacentral:rRNA from 1 species